rnacentral:lncRNA from 1 species
CCGUCCCCCGCCGUCCCCCUCCGUUCCCCUCCGCACGCGGGUCUUCCCGGCCUCGGCCUCGGCCUGGCGGGGGGGCUGUGCGUCCCAGAGGCCUCGACCCCGGAACCGGCCGUCUCACCCCCCAAUUCCGCCCGGUCCCCCGCGCCUCCCUGUGCUCGCCCAAGACCCGAGGGGGCUGCUCCCGCAGCAGCACCGGGGCCAGCGCCCGGCUCCGGGGCGGGGACCCCGGCUCGCCCCCCGCCUCCCCCGCUGCUCCGACGCGGCCCCCCUGGCCGGGUGGCCCGACGGUACGGGUCGGGCGGUGCCGGGGGCGGCCGGUCGCUGACGCCCCGACACCCAGACAGCGCUGCCCGGGCCCCACCUGGGAUCCGCCCGUGGCCGGCGUCCGCUCCCCGGAGCCCGGCCCCCGCGAGGCCCGAGCGGCCGCGUCGCUGGAAGUCGGCGAAGUCUAAGCCGGGAGUUCGGUGCCUCAAGGCACGUAGGAAGCGUGCGAGAGGGCAGAGGAGUGCGCAGCUGAGGGCCUGCGGGCAGCAGGGGAGCUUCAAAGAGCCCGGGAUAUUUGAUUUGCACCUGAGAGGUCACCAGCAUGAACCGAAAUGA